UUAGCUCAGUUGGCUAGAGCAGCUGACUCUUAAUCAGCGGGUCGUGGGUUCAAGUCCCUCAACCC
rnacentral:tRNA from 1 species